rnacentral:rRNA from 1 species
AUGAGUGUGUUCAAACUCCCUGCAUCGGUAUGUGAUGAGCUCACACGUAUGAUUCGUCAAUACUGGUGGGGUGUUGAGAAUGGGAAGAGGAAAAUGGCUUGGAUGAGUUGGGACAAACCGAGGCUUCCUAAAUCCAUGGGGGCAUUGGCUUCAAGACAUGAGGUCGUUUAAUCAGCCCUGUUAGCUAAACAAGCCUGGAGGCUGCUGGACUCACCAGAUAGUUUGUACGAUCGUCUUUUAAAGGAAAAGUAUUACCCUCAUGGUCAAUUGUUGGACACUGUUUUUCCGAGCAAUGGCUCGGAGGUUUGGAAGGGCAUUUUACACGGACUUGAGCUGGUAAAGAAAGGGGUUAUAUGGCGUGUGUGGAAUGGUACAACAAUUCGUACAUGGAGGGACCCCUGGAUCCCGAGACCAGCCUCCUUCCGACCAAUUACUCCUAAAAGGAACUGCCGAUUAAAUUGGGUAUCGGACUUCUUAGAUGAUAAUGAUGCAUGGAGAGCAGACCGGCUAAAUGAGUUCUUCUGGCCAAUGGAUGUGAGUCACAUUCUGAAAAUUAGAACCUCACCACGCCAACGCUGUGAUUUCUUGUCUUGGUUCCAGGAGAAGGGCGGAGUGUUUACAGUGAAAAGUGCUUAUAAGCUAGCCACACAGUAACACAAUGCUACCUUUGCUAAUGGUGCGUCCAGUACUAGUCCAGAUGGUGAACGCUCUUUGUGGAACCUUAUUUGGAAUUCAGAUGUCCCUCAAAAGAUGAAGAUUACAGCUUGGAAAGCUGUAACCGGAACACUGGCAACACAACAAUGCAAAAGGUAUAGACACUUAUCGACGAGGUCAACAUGUCCUUUCUGCGGUGUGGAGGAGGAAGGAACGUUCCAUGCGAUGGUAGCAUGUAUGCAUGCCAGAAUCCUUUGGGUGAAUAUGCGACGACGAUGGCCACUACCAGCUGAUGUUCUGCUCCUUGAUACUGGAAAGGAAUGGCUCAUGACCUUACUCAGCAAGUGUUCUGGAGAUGUUCGAGAUAUGUUGAUUAUGAUGAUGCGGAGGAUUUGGCAGCUGCGAAAUGAUAUGGUACAUGGAAAGGAUGUCCCACCAGUUCUUCCUACCGUCGAAUUUUUGGACAGUUACUAUAGGUCAAUCACGUUAGCCGGAAGGUUCUCAAUAGGAGAAAUCUUAAAGGGGAAGAUGCCUACCCUAGAUGUCACUAUGGCGUCUAAUGUUGACAGAACCCCUGCAGUUCCAUGGCCGGCCCCGGCGGCUGGAACGGUGGCCCUAUCUGUUGAUGGCUCCUUCCACAAGGACGACGGAUCUGCUGCCGCUGGUAUGGUUCUUAGGAACAGCGAGGGUGCAAUUAUAUUCGCAACAUAUCGUUUCAUUUUCCACUGCAAUGAUUCCUUGGAAGCGGAACUGCAUGCAAUAAUGCAAGGCAUGGUGCUGGCGAUACAACAUUCAGACCUUCCGGUGGUGGUGCAGUCGGAUUCCUUUGAAACUUAUCCAGCCUGUCUAAUAAUGCGCUUUGUAGGUCAACGUAUGGCCAAAUAG